rnacentral:rRNA from 1 species
GUUCUCCCCGAAAUAGCUUUAGGGCUAGCCUCAGGGAAAAGAUUGCAGGCGGUAGAGCACUGAUCAGGAGAGGGACCUACCCGGUUACCAAACCCAGUCAAACUCCGAAUGGCUGCAAUCAUACCUGGGAGUCAGACUGCGACUAAUAAGGGCCGUAGUCAAAAGGGAAACAGCCCAGACCAUCAGCUAAGGUCCCCAAUGCCGUGCUAAGUGGCGAAGGAUGUGGCAUUUCAUAAACAACCAGGAUGUUGGCUCAGAAGCAGCCACCAUUUAAAGAGUGCGUAAUAGCUCACUGGUCGAGAGACGCUGCGCCGAAAAUGUCCGGGGCUCAAGCACGGAACCGAAGCUAUGGCAUGAUAGCAAUAUCAUGGGUAGGGGAGCGUUCUUAUAAGGAAGAAGCAUGACCGGAAGGACAUGUGGACGAAUAAGAAGUGAGAAUGCCGGUAUGAGUAUCGAAAAGAAAGGUGAGAAUCCUUUCCACCGAAAGCCCGAGGGUUCCUGAGCAACGAUCGUCGACUCAGGGUAAGUCGGGACCUAAGCCGAGGCGGAAAGCGUAGGCGAUGGACAACAGGUUGAAAUUCCUGUACCGGAUCAAGUCGAUUGAGCGAAGGAGCGACGCAGGAGGGCACAUGAUCGCGCGGCUGGAAGAGCGCGUCCAAGUGCGUAUGUUGCCGCAGAGGAAAACCCCUGCGGCUAAAAGCAGAGACAUGAUGGGGAGUUAAAGGAAACUUUGACGAACUCAUGAAUCCCACACUGCCAAGAAAAACUUCUAGCGAGACAAGAUCCGCCCGUACCGUAAACCGACACAGGUAGGCGGGGAGAGAAUCCUAAGGUGCGCGGGAAAACCCUCGUUAAGGAACUCGGCAAAUUGCAUCCGUAACCUAGGGAGAAGGAUGGCCCCCGGUCAGUGAAGAGCAGAAACGCUCAGAGCUAAAAGGGGCGGCAGAAAAGAGGCCCAAGCAACUGUUUACCAAAAACACAGGUGCCUGCGAAAGCGAAAGCUGAAGUAUAGGUGCUGACGCCUGCCCGGUGCCGGAAGGUUAAGGAGAGAAGUUAGCGAAAGCGAAGCAUCGAACUGAAGCCCCGGUGAACGGCGGCCGUAACUAUAACGGUCCUAAGGUAGCGAAAUUCCUUGUCGGGUAAGUUCCGACCCGCAUGAAAGGCGUAAUGAUUUGGGCACUGUCUCAACGAGGGGCCCGGUGAAAUUGAAAUACCUGUGAAGAUGCAGGUUACCCGCGACUGGACAGAAAGACCCCAUGGAGCUUCACUGCAGCUUGAGAUUGAAUCCCGGUGACAGAUGCACAGGAUAGGUGGGAGGCGCCGAAGCAUUGCCUUAGGGCGGUGCGGAGCCGAUGUUGGGAUACCACCCUUCUGUUGCUGAGAUUCUAACGCGAGGAGUAACGACCCUGCGGACCCUCUCAGGCAGGCGGUUUGACUGGGGCGGUCGCCUCCGAAAGAGUAA